rnacentral:misc_RNA from 1 species
GGGCAAGGAUCAGGGUAUUGGGAGGAGAAUAUGACGAUAAGAAAUGCCUUCACUGAUUGUAGUUAGUAUCAGUACAUUCCCUUAAAUACAGGGUUUGUGCGACAUAUGCUAGCUCCGUAUUCCUCAUAUUCAGCCUUUGUAUGGCAAGCAGCAAAAAAUUCAGGAGUAGAAGCAAGUACUGAUCCUCCAAACCAAACUGCAUAUCUCUGAAUAGGAUGGCUGACCACAUUCACUUCAACUGG